UUUAGAACUCGUGAUAUGGGCUAAACACUGAACAGUGUCUAGGCUGCAAGACAGAUUCCGACUUCUCUGUUGUUGCUACAAUUUGAACUUGAAAACGGUCCUUUUGAUUUUGAACUCUGCAAGAAAGUUUUAGGCCUAUAUCUUAACUUUCUAUA
rfam:Populus trichocarpa isolate Nisqually-1 chromosome 8, whole genome shotgun sequence.